UCUUGGGGUUUUCCCCUCGUUCCAGGAUGUGACAUGAAAGCCUGCUGCUUCCGAUGAGACCGGUCCCAGCGUCACCCCUCGGGUUGCGUCAGUCACCAGCCAGUGGGGAGCGAAGGGCUGAGCUGCUGAGACAGGUGCUUCAGGAGGUGACACAGGCAGCGCAGAGGCUCCUGAAAGCGUGACCGGGGAUUUCCACGCAGGGCCAGUUCUUGUUCUUUUGUUGUUACUUGAGUAUGGCACUGUCACCCCAGGACAGAUGUUCCAUGACCCACAGUCAUUCCCGGGGAUGAGAUGCAUGCUUCCCGUGGCUGAAGGGCUCACUCCGCGCACAGAAGAUACCAGCCGAACGGUUCCUGACUCAGAAUUCCUAAGACGUUUGUAAUUUCCUGAGAGACGAGGCUGUCUGACGUAGAUUCUUCAUUCCCUGGGAUUCUCUGGACGGCAGGAGCAUCUUCAAGUUCCACUCAUGUGACUCUUGCUGCUAAUGGAAGACCAAGCCAUGAUUCAAAGAUUUCAGUCUCCUCAAGCCAGAGUGGUUUGACUGAAGUGGAUCAAGAACACUUGAUGGAUAACAAGUCCUUCCCCUUGUCUCAAUCCAGUGGACACUAAACCAUACAGUUCUGGCCAUUGUCCCCUGCGGCAUCGAGGACCCAAAGGAAAUCAGAAACCCGAGGGCCAUGGCUGUCGGGAUAUCUGGAGACUGGCAGCAAAGCUGGAGCCCCUGGGAGGGGCCAGAUGAAGCCUCUGCUCCCUCUGACUUCCAACCUAGCAGGAGAGGCAGAGGCUACCCCGUCAGCUGGGGGUGAGUGGGAGCAGGCAUUUAAAACAGCUCCCCUCAGAGGCGCUUGGCAGUGCCUGGACAGCUUCUGGAAGAGAGAGAGAACAGCACUCCCCAGCCCAGAGGAGGGACCAGAGCCAGUGUGUGAGAAGAGAAGGAUAUGCAGAAGGAGGAGCCAGGGAGACAGUGAAGGGGAUGGUGUCUCCCUCGCUGUUACUGAGGAAAACUGAGGGGAGAUGGUGUGUUCUAGGACCUGUGUUCUAGAACCUGCCGCCUGAAUCUGUCAGAGCUCUGUCAGAUUGACAGCCUGGCUCAAGAGCUUGAGGGGAUGGAGGCAGUCGAGACUCCAUCUUGGAAGACAGGACUGGAGACAUAUCCUUGCUCAGGUCAGAGAGUAUCUCAUACAGGGAUAGAUCUCUCCCCCACACACACCAAAUAUCAAUACUAAUUUAAAUGCCUCUACAGAGGCCACUGUAUGCGGGCAGGGCAGCUAUGUUAGUCAGAUCUCUGUCACUAGAAUGAAACGCCCAAGAUAAUCACCUUCUAAAGAAAAAAGGGUGCAUUUUGACUCACAGUUUGGAAGGUUUCACCUUGUAAUUGGUUGAUUUGGGUCUGUGCCAGGGAAACCCAUCAUGGAAGGUGGUUCAUCUCAAGUCAAGAUUGAAGUGAAGGAGAGAUGGAGAUCCCACAGUACCUUUCGACAGUGUCCUGUGUGGUCUGGAGAAUCAUAGUUGUGCUUUGGGUUCAAGAGAGUGAAUCUAGAAAGCAAGCAAAAGUACAAAAAUAAAUAGCAAGUAGCCAACAGAGGGAGGCAGCGGGUAGACAUCUUUAGUCAGGCAGAGACGCCUGGUGUGGCCUGAUGAGAGAGCAAGUGGGGGCAGAAUUAUCAAAUGGGAGGCUUAGGACAUCCAGUAGAAGCCACCAGGGCAGCAGCAGUCACAGUGGGGCUCCCCAUUAAAAGGCUCCCCACCAAUGCUGCCCCUACCACAGUACGUUAUACCCCAGGAUGAAGGCUGGUGACCCCGGCUGGGAAUGGUUCACCUUCUACCUGUCCUCGGGAACACAGUGGUUUUACUCAUGCACUGUUUGGCUCUUUUCCAUUCUCCCUCUCACAGAACCAGGGAGGACACUGGACAGGACGUGAGUGAGUCUGAGGCCAGGGCAUGUCAUGCACUUAAGUCUGUUUUCGAUAAGCUUAAACAGUUUGCAGCAAUUUCCCAAAUCAAUUCAUAGCACAAAGAGCAUCGCUGAGGGACCUAAGUGUCCACCUCUUAGGAGUUCCACACACCCCCAUAGCACCACUAAAUGGCCCAGAUCUUAACACAGUGACCUUUAGGGGACAUUUAAGACACAAACUACACCAGAAACAUAAGAAUAUGUGGAUUGCUGGGUCCUGUCGCAGACUGGCAACUUACAGACUCUGUCAGGACAGCUGGCAAUGAUGGCGGCACUUGACCCCGAUCUGCACUCACUGAAGUGACUCCAGAGUCCAGUGUCACUCCUCAGCAUUGUGUCCUGUCAGUUCCAGCCCUGCUGUCCUGAGUUUGUGUUCCUCUCUUUCUAUCUGUUCCUCAGUUACUUGCACAGGUGUUGAUGAGACCUUAGGUCAUUUUGUAUCACUAAACAGAAUGUGGAUAUGGCUGCCCAACAUGAGGCUAACUGAAACCACAAAAAGGCUGAGAAAGCUUGGGAAAGAGUAAAGCAUGCAUGUUUUCUUGGUAGCAACAAUUUUUCGUGUCUACUCUGCUUGCUAGAGGUAAGCAAGCACUCUCAUCUAAGAGAGGCUUCCUGACUCAGCUUCAGCUGCAAAACCCUGCAGCUCAUUAAGAGGUCCUGCCACGAAACACUUAAAUGGUGUUGACGAAAAGCUGAACGCAUGCUUUUCGGUUUUCAGCUGUAGCAGGAAAAAAGCUGUAACGUUUAAAAAUGCUGGCUUUCUGGGCUGUCCUGCCAGGGCGAACUCUGACUCUUUUACGCAGGCGGUUCGUGCGGUUUGCAAGCACAGGCUGCUGUAGCUUACUUGCUGGCAGGGACCUUGAAAUGCCAUAGAGUUGUGGCAGUAAACUUGGCUACAGCCUGUAUAUCUGCCAUGAGGCUGGAAAACUAAGGAAUGGACUGGAUCUAGCUGGCAAAGCCACGGCUUUAAUCCUACCCAUAUUGCUCAAUAAAUUAAAGACUCAUGUGGUCAGAAAAACAGAGAGAGAUACAGUAAAGAGAGCGUCAAAGACAAAGAAAAUUUUUAAAUGAUUUACAGUGUUAAAAAUGUAUGCAGACUAAAAGUUAAAAUUCUUAAAGUAAAAAAAAGUAAGAAAAAGAGAAGUCUUGUGUGGUAGUACACACCUUUAAUCCCAACGCUUGGGAGGCAGAGGGAGAUUGACCUCUGUGACUUCAAUGUGUGGUGGCACACGCCUUUAAUCCCAGUGCCCAAAAGGCAGAGACAAACAGAUCUCUGUGAGUUCAAGGUGUAGUAGCAAACACCUUUAAUCCCAAUGCCUGGGAGGCAGAGACAGGCAUAUCUCUGAGAGUUCAAGGAGAGCCUGGUCUACAGAGUUAUUCCAGGUCAAAGAGAUACAGAGAAUAUAAAAUAAAAGUAAAAAUAAAUGAAAUAGACUUAAAAUAAAGUUGCACAAAGAUGGAAAAUGCAUAGAGAAUAUUGAUACUGUAUGCUAUUAUGCUCUCUUUGAAUUGUUUUAAAGCUGAGGAAGGAGCAACAGAUGCUAAAAGAUAUUUGUUUAUAAAUGCUGCUGAACUAAUCCAACGUAGAGAUUUUGAUGCCUUGACUUUGAAAUUUGGAUCUAAGGACAUGAUGCUUUCGAAAGGAGUUUCCUAUUUUGUUUUCACAGAGGAUGAGACCCUGUUCAUUUCUUCUAUUCCUAUAUGGAAUGAUAGACCACGCCCUCCUGAAUGGUUGCUGUGAACUCCUUCAGAAAAUUGCUUCGCUCAACUGCCAACUGAGAUGAAACUAGCACACAGGUUAUACCAUGAAAGACCUAAUUAACGACGCCCCCAUUCAGCAGGAAGCAGUUUGGAGAGAAAAAACUGCACCCAUAUUCCCAAAUAUUGUUUAUAAAUGUUCUUUUACAUUUAAAGGGGGAGAUGAUAUAGGUAUGAAUAACUUACAUUGAUAUGGAUUUUGCUUUAGUGAUUUAAAUUUAAGGUCAAUUUUGUAAUGUAUAUAGGUUGUUAAUGAAUAAUCAUUAAUAAUAGUCAAGUUUGUAGUCAUGUUAGUUAGAUUUUCUAGAUAUAUAGAUAUAUAUUUCAGUUAGAUUGGCAUUCUUCAUAUCUUUCAAAGACUACGGAAUAUGCUAUUAAAUGUUUUUAUAACUUAGGACUUUUCAUAACAAUGAGACACUCUGUUCCUGGCAGCACCAAUCUACUUCAAGAGGAAGAUGGGCAUCGAAGAGGAUCCUUAUGGAGUUUGAUAGCCAUUUGUGCAAGAAACUGCUCUUGCCUGGACUAUUGCAUAAACUGGACACAGAGAACCCGCAGAGAAAGGACUACUGAACUUGCCUAAAGGUGAGAUGACCUUUUGGGGUUCCUGAUUCAUGAAAGAGUCUGCAAGACAUUCUUCAGGACAAGCAGAUAGUGACUGCCUUUGAAAUUUCCUGCUUUGUGGAAAUGUCUUCUGAAACUAUGGGCCUGUAGGCCGAAGAUGGAUGCCCCAACGGUACAGAGGAACUUUGGGUGACUGUCCAGGCAGUGAGAUGUCUCUGUCAUUUCUAGAGAUUUGGAUUUCUUGUUUGCUUAGGUAAUAUUGUAUCUUUCUGGACUCUUUGAUGGAGUUAAGAAUAGUUAGCUAUAGUUAUAGUUUUCCUUAGUUAUGAUAUAGAUUAUUGUAAUUUUUACUUGAUAACUGUUUUGUUAUAUGUAAUUUUGCUCCAUUAAAG